GACGAACGCUGGCGGCGUGCUUAACACAUGCAAGUCGAACGGAAAGGCCCUGCUUUUGUGGGGUGCUCGAGUGGCGAACGGGUGAGUAACACGUGAGUAACCUGCCCUUGACUUUGGGAUAACUUCAGGAAACUGGGGCUAAUACCGGAUAGGAGCUCCUGCUGCAUGGUGGGGGUUGGAAAGUUUCGGCGGUUGGGGAUGGACUCGCGGCUUAUCAGCUUGUUGGUGGGGUAGUGGCUUACCAAGGCUUUGACGGGUAGCCGGCCUGAGAGGGUGACCGGCCACAUUGGGACUGAGAUACGGCCCAGACUCCUACGGGAGGCAGCAGUGGGGAAUAUUGCACAAUGGGCGGAAGCCUGAUGCAGCAACGCCGCGUGCGGGAUGACGGCCUUCGGGUUGUAAACCGCUUUCGCCUGUGACGAAGCGUGAGUGACGGUAAUGGGUAAAGAAGUACCUGCUAACUACGUG
rnacentral:rRNA from 1 species